rnacentral:tRNA from 1 species
GGUGGGGUGGCCGAGUGGCUAAUGGCAGCAGACUGUAACUCUGCCGGGCUCACGCUCUACGUAGGUUCGAAUCCUACCCCCACCA